GGGUGGGCCGCAGCGUGGGAUCGGAGCCGUAGAGCCGCUCAUAAUAGCUGGCGGUCUGGGCGAACGCUUGGGCGCGGCGGUUCGACACCGUCACCACGCC
rnacentral:tRNA from 2 species